CCCACCCCACGGGUUCAUCAUGCAUCCUAGGUGGGCGUUAACUCGCAAUGUCAUCCUGGUCCUUACGGCCCCGUUUCCCCAUCAUCUGCGAGAUGAAAUCAUGGUCAGGAAAACAGGCAGCAGAGCUCCGACCAGCAGCAGAUCUCUCCUUGGAGACUUGCCAGAACCAACCAGAUGCACAUCUAACCAAGCCCCCAUCUCAAGUCUUCACUGCCAUCUCCUCCAAACACUUUUCGGAGAAUGUGGGAAGAUGAACAAAGUCAUGCACCCUAGUGAGAAGACAGAACUCCUUUGUGCGGGGACGGAAAUGCUCGUCUACUCCAGGUGUCCUCCUCCAUUUCCCCACCUCCCCUGUGUUUAGAUUGGGGCCAUAGACUGGCCAAUGCACUGUGAAUGGAAGUGAUGUGGUCCCUUUCGUCUAAGGCAGUCAGGAAGAGUUGUGAGUUCUCUCUACCGUCACUGGGAGUUGAAGGAAAAAUCUGAGAUGGCGGAGUUGCAAGAUGGAAGCUGCCUGGAUCCUUGGAGCCGCUAAGGAGAGCUGCCCGAUUUGCAAUAACUAGUUCAGUUUUCAACGUGUCAUAUCUUAAGUAAGUUACUGAGAUUUCAUGGUUUGUUACUUUAGCCUAGGCUAGCCUAAUAAUCCCUUCCAGAAUUAUUUCAUUUUAACAGAGAUCCUAGGGGAAACGGUAAUGCAAAACAUGACGGAAAUAACUUCUCAUAGUGGAACUGUGGAUACAGGUUGUAACAGGUGCCAUUGCGGCAGCCCUGUAGAAAAAGAGGGUUGACGUCGGGGAAACUUCUCGAUACCACUAAAACUGGGACACGGGGCAAUACUGUAUGCCUCUAGUGGUCCUGUGCUGCAUGGCAAAUUUGAAAAGGCUCCAAAGAAGGAAAUUUUAAGACAUUAUUCCUUCAGGCAAAAUCUCACCAAGCUGCUUCUACAGGGAGGCAAAACAAGGGAACCCAUUUUCUCAAAUGAUUUUGAAAACAUAGUCACCUAGUGCCAGACGUAGAAAUCCCUUUUUUUCUUGCCCAUAUUAUCAAUUAUUAAAACACCUACUUGGCUUUCUCCACUAUCCCACAAGGACCCAGAAAACUUGAUAAUUUGGAUCCAUUUAGGAAUUCCCUUUUUUUGGGAAACAAUGUGACAGAAUGACAACUUGCAUCUGUUGAAUGAAGCUGCCUUUUGGGAAGACCUUGUUUCCUUCCUCCACAGAGGCCCUCCCGGCUUCCGGAGCAUCGUGGAUGGUUUCAAGAAUUGUGCAGAUGGUAGCAAUUGGAGACUCAGGAAAGGCUGUCAAAAAGAAGGCAAAGUACUGCCUUGGAUCCCAACUCUAAGUUUGAUUUUAUACAUACAAAGUGUCCCCAGCCAAACUACUCCUAAGAAUGCUGUCCAGCAGGGCAUCACCUCUGAUGGCAGUUUCCUAAGACGUCAUCCUUUCCCCUAAAUGCACACGACACUUGCCAGUGGAGAGGGUCCCUCCUAACUGUGCCACUGGCUUUCCCUCUGCUCCCUCCAACUGAACCAGCAUGGGCUUCCAAAAAGCUCCUUGACAUACCUAGAACCCAGAUCCACCAGAUUAAUACUCCAGAUACAAUCCCUUUGGGUCUGGCCGCACAUGCCAACCAAGUCCCAAACCAGUUUAUUAAUUUGACCAAAAGGUAAACAGAUGAUGGAGAUGCAGAAAGACAAGCAUGCGAGCAGCUAGAAGUAUUAGCCCGGCUGGCCACCAGGAAACAAAUUUAAGACAUUUAAAGUGGCAUUAAAUAAAUGAGGCUAUGUUUUAUCUACUUGUAACUUCCAUUGUCUUUUUUAAAAAAGAAAAAAAUAUAUAUAUAUUUUACAUUGCAGUAUAUAAAUCUAGACUCUACAUAUACAGUAUAAAUACACAAGGCGAGCACAUGGGCACAACACGUAUGUCUGUCUUGGUAGCCGCGCCCUAAACCAGGCCAACAGUUCUACAUUUUCUUUUUGACCUUCCAACCAAGAAAUUCAGCCUGAGGCUACGUUUCCUUCAAUCCCCAUGAUGUCUAGCACCCUGGCCAUCCCUCCUCCACGCACAGAAGCACAAAUCGAACCAGCCUCGCAAACAGAAAAAAAGUGCUUUUCAACUAGUUGAAACCAGUCAGUCUUUACAAUUCGGUCUGAUCUAGAAAGACCUAAAGGAAAUCUGAGGCCUUCCUGGCUCAUUUUCAUUCUUUGGUCCACCGCCACAAAUCUCUAGACUUACCCUGGUGUUUCUUGCAGAUUUCAUAUGGCUAUUUAUGUAACAUAAAUCACACAUAACCUUUGGGAGCUGUCUUACAGGGUAGAAAAAAAAAAAAAGCUCCACAUUACAAUCUGCACUUCAUAUCUGGGUUCAUUCUUUAUUUUUGGAAUAAAAACUGGUAUUUUGAGAAUUUUCUUCUUAAAAAGGACAACAUUCUGAAAGUGCUUCUUAAACGCAUCAACAUCCCACAUAUGGCUUUGUAGUUCAAACCCCAGCCACAGCUCAGAUUUGGAAGGGAGAGGAUGAUGGUGGUACUGGAGACAAAAGUGUCACUUAACAGUGAUACUGUGAUACCAAGGGUGGAAACCUGAAAAAAAAAA